AGGGCAAGAGCUGGGUCAAAUGGUGGUUCCAUUCCCAGCUUUCCCAGGAAUAUCCAUACUGCUUUCCAAAUUGGCUGCACCAAUUUGCAAUCCCACCAGCAAU
rnacentral:pre_miRNA from 1 species